rnacentral:rRNA from 1 species
GACGAACGCUGGCGGCGUGCUUAACACAUGCAAGUCGAACGGAAAGGCCCUGCUUUUGUGUGGUGCUCGAGUGGCGAACGGGUGAGUAACACGUGAGUAACCUGCCCUUGACUUUGGGAUAACUUCAGGAAACUGGGGCUAAUACCGGAUAGGAGCUCCUGCUGCAUGGUGGGGGUUGGAAAGUUUCGGCGGUUGGGGAUGGACUCGCGGCGUAUCAGCUUGUUGGUGGGGUAGUGGCUUACCAAGGCUUUGACGGGUAGCCGGCCUGAGAGGGUGACCGGCCACAUUGGGACUGAGAUACGGCCCAGACUCCUACGGGAGGCAGCAGUGGGGAAUAUUGCACAAUGGGCGGAAGCCUGAUGCAGCAACGCCGCGUGCGGGAUGACGGCCUUCGGGUUGUAAACCGCUUUCGCCUGUGACGAAGCGUGAGUGACGGUAAUGGGUAAAGAAGCACCGGCUAACUACGUG